rnacentral:rRNA from 1 species
CCUACGGGUGGCUGCAGUGGGGAAUAUUGGACAAUGGGCGAAAGCCUGAUCCAGCCAUGCCGCGUGUGUGAAGAAGGCCUUCGGGUUGUAAAGCACUUUCAGUGGGGAAGAAAGCCUUGGGGCUAAUACCCUCGAGGAAGGACAUCACCCACAGAAGAAGCACCGGCUAACUCCGUGCCAGCAGCCGCGGUAAUGCGGAGGGUGCGAGCGUUAAUCGGAAUUACUGGGCGUAAAGCGCGCGUAGGCGGUCUGAUAAGCCGGUUGUGAAAGCCCCGGGCUCAACCUGGGAACGGCAUCCGGAACUGUCAGGCUAGAGUGCAGGAGAGGAAGGUAGAAUUCCCGGUGUAGCGGUGAAAUGCGUAGAGAUCGGGAGGAAUACCAGUGGCGAAGGCGGCCUUCUGGACUGACACUGACGCUGAGGUGCGAAAGCGUGGGUAGCAAACAGGAUUAGAUACCCCAGUAGUC